GCCGAUGUGGCGGAAUUGGCAGACGCAUCAGACUCAAAAUCUGACGAUGGCAACAUUGUACGAGUUCAAGUCUCGUCAUCGGCA
rfam:Lachnospiraceae bacterium 28-4 genomic scaffold acPFn-supercont1.1, whole genome shotgun sequence.